rnacentral:rRNA from 1 species
UACGAUGAGGUGCAAGCGUUGUUCGGAAUCACUGGGCGUAAAGCGCGUGUAGGCGGCUUUGCAAGUCGGGUGUGAAAGCCCUCAGCUCAACUGAGGAAGUGCGCCCGAAACUGCAGAGCUUGGGUACCGGAGAGGAUGGCGGAAUUCCCCAAGUAGAGGUGAAAUUCGUAGAUAUGGGGAGGAACACCGGUGGCGAAGGCGGCCAUCUGGACGGAUACUGACGCUGAGACGCGAAAAGCGUGGGGGAGCAAACAGG